rnacentral:rRNA from 1 species
AGAACGAACGCUGGCGGCAUGCCUAAUACAUGCAAGUCGAACGAACUCUUCGGAGUUAGUGGCGCACGGAUGCGUAACGCGUGGGAAUCUGCCCUUAGGUACGGAAUAACUCAGAGAAAUUUGUGCUAAUACCGUAUGAUGUCGAAAGACCAAAGAUUUAUCGCCUAAGGAUGAGCCCGCGUAAGAUUAGCUUGUUGGUGAGGUAAAAGCGUCACCAAGGCGACGAUCUUUAGCUGGUCUGAGAGGAUGAUCAGCCACACUGGGCUGAGACCACGGCCCAGACUCCGUACGGGAGCAGCAGUGGGGAAUAGUUGGACAAGUGGGACGAAAGCCUGAUCCAGCAAUGACCGCGUGAGUGAUGAAGGCCUUAGGGUGUAAAGUCUCUUUACCGAGGUAUGAAUAAGUGAACUAGUACCUAGGAAG